UCUUCGAUGGUCUAGUGGUCAUGAUUUCCGCUUGUCAAGAAUACGCAUCUCAACAAGCGCGGGAGACCGGGGUUCGAUUCCCCGUCGGAGAG